CUUCCGGUCCGGUGCGCAGCGCCCGCGGCCGCCGGGCGCCUUGGAAGGCUCUCGCCAUUUCCUGCGUUCUGCAGGAGCACUAAUUGAAAAUUUGGGUGGCCUUGCUUAUUUAUUUUUCUGGAACGCAGUGGGUUAUAUUUUCAUGGCAUUUUCUCAGCAGUGCGGCGUUUCCAUUUCAAACUACAACAAUGAGAAGAAAAGCCAGUCGCCGUGAGCGGCCGACGCGCGGAGGGCCCCGCUCUGGCUGUGGUCCUGCGGCUGUACUAACUAGAUCCAAGCCCGCAGACGCCGCUCCUUCGGGAAACUAAAAGACAAGUUUACUUCCUUUUAGAAGAAGAGAAAACACAGGGAAAUGCUCCGUUACCGUGACAAGUGAAGGCUAAACAAGAGGAUUAGAAAUACUUUUCAGCAUGGCUGACUCCUCCCCGACAUGGCUGUGAAAUAGCAAACCUAAAAUGUUUUUCCAAGAAAUGUAUUUCAGAGAAGAAACAAGAGCAAACCGCUUCUCCUGACUUGCCCUCUCCUGGUGCAGCCGGGAGCUGCCCUUUCACGUCAGUGGCGAUGCAGCACCGCAGAGAAUGUUUUACACUUGGUGCACAGACAAAACUCGCAGCUCAAUGUAGGCAUCGCCCAAAGGAACUUAAUGCCCCAAAUUUCGAAACUAUGCCUAAUAACAACACGCAGUGUGGGCUGCAGGGUUUACAUCACAGAGGAGAGGCCGGUGUCAACAGAGGCCCUGGGAAGGGACAGGAUUGCCGAAUGGUUCGUACAAAACAAAACACACAAGCCUAAGUAUGAGCUAUCUUCCCAUCUGCUUUCUCUUGAAACUUAACAACUUAGACAGAAACCUGGGAUAUGUACAGUGUGGAUAACAGAAUUCUUGGAUCUAUGUAUUGGCUUUCUAUGUCUGACAUUCGACUGUAAACAAGUGACAACUCACCUGAUCUGGAUUAGUUUUUCCAAAGCAUGGGCAAAAUACACCAGGUUCCUGAUCUCUUUUUCUUGAGCACGUGAGUUGGUUCUUCUGCACAUUUCCUUGUAACAGAAGCACAAAGAAGUGAUGUUCUAAGCCAGCGAGGAGCCAACUGGCUCUCCAGGACCAUGUUUGCCAGUGCAGACGGCCACCUCAGCCGAGCCCGGAGAGAGGGCGCCCUGUGGCCGGGAAGCCCACACCCUCCCAGUGGUUCUCCAGUUACAGUCCUGCUUGCAGAAGCAGAAGAGCUGUUGAAAGCAAAACACCAGUAAACGAUCUUCCUAUGAUGACCGGUUCAGCCACAAAAGAGAAGUGUGUUAAUCAGAGAAGUUUUUAAAAAUUAGAACGCCGCUGUUGGCAUUUUUUCACAUGGAAUUCUGCUGAAGACCUCAAUUUACAGAAAAGAUCAGAGAUGUGGGGAAAUAAAUACUGAAGCCAUGACCGAGGAGGCAGGACGGUGAUGCAAGGAGGGGUGAAAUGAGGCUAAGAUGAAGCAAACUGAGCAUCUGAGGCCCUUGAGCCUCGAAAUCCACCCGCAACACCGCCAUUGGGCAGGGACAUCUCCUUUCCCAUUCCCUACAUGCCACCCUCCUCGGUAGUUCCCAUCUCUGAGUUUAAUUUUUCAGUCUUUUUUUUAUAGUGUGUGUGUGUGUGUGUGUGUGUGUCUGAAUAUAUGUGUGUGUAAAUGUACACACAUGUGGCUAUGUGUAUGGGAGGGUAUUGUGUGUGUUCAUGAGUGUGUAGCUGGGGUGUAUGUUUGCAGUGUGCAUUGACAAGCAGGUGUGUCUGCGUGCAUGUGUGCUUGUGUGUGUAGUGAGCAGUGGUAGUCAGUUGCUACUGGUGAAAAAGAAAAGGCUGGGGCCGGGGAUUUAGCUCAGUGGUUCCACCGCCUGCCUCGAAAGCUCAAGGACCCAAGUUCAAUCCCCGGUACCAAAAAAAGAAAAAAGAAAAGACUGGUUUCAUCAGGACCAUUUGCCCUGUAAGGAAGGAGGGGCACAAACAGGAAAGGGGGAGGAGAGGGAAUAAGGGAGGAACAAGGAGGAACUUGUCAGGUUGUUGGCUCAAUUUUCUUUUCUCUGUCAACCUGCACAUUUUUCUUUUGCUUUCAUUCUUUCCUUUUUCUUUGUCUUUCUUUCCCUUUUUCUUUAAAAUUCACCUGUUGUCAGUCAUUUUACCGUGGCCUGGAAUUGACUUAGGGGACAUCCGUAACCAGAGCACAUGGAGGUGCUGACACUGUGGUCUCCCACAGAUUUGUGCGCAUUAAGGAAGGAUUUCCCUUCUGAGUGUUUCUCAGAAAUUGAAGAUUAUUAUUAAUAGGGAGUGUUAAUAGUGUUACAGAUAUGCUGAGAAAAGAAUGAAUCAGUUUUUUCAUUGAUCAGAGUUCACUGAUCAGAAUCACUAAAUUUUCCAUAUUUCAUUUUUAAGUAAGUCAAUUGCUAAGAAUGUAGAAAAGUAGUUCAUUAAAUGUUUUACUUCAAAUAAUGCUUCCAUAAUGAGAAAUUUUAAUUUACACUUAAAAUAUAAGAGACCUUAGGUUUAUUGAAGUUAAUUUGGUGUUGCUAUUUUUUUAUAUGCUAAGAAAACAUGAAAUCUUUUUGGAUAGAAUAACUUCAAUUCUGUGGCUGAACUUAUGCAUUCUAUUAUCAUAUUCAUAAGAAAUGUCAGUAUUCUAAAUUAUUUGGGUUUAUUAAGUGUGUAGUUAUUAGAUUCUUAGUCAGGGGUGCAUAGUUUCAAAAACAUUUGAAUAAUUUGUCAUUGUCAUCUUUCAAAAAUACUUAUAUGUGUAUACUUAUCCUCAUGUGAAGUUACAAAUGUAACUUUCUGUAUUUUAAUAGCUAUAUCAAUAACGCAUCUGCAAAUGUACACAUAGAAUGUGAAUUUUAAUAUAUUCCCAAUAUGCAUAAUAUCACAUCAAAAAUUGGAAGGUGAACAGCUCAUGGGGCAGUUACCGUGUUGAAGUAGUGAGUUUAUAUUUGUUUCUGUUGUAAAAAAGAUUGGUUGAAAAUAGCCUUCUUUCCAGAACAAUUCCUAGAGCACUUGAUUACCCUAAACCUAGCCAGGAUAAUGGGACUUUAUUUGGUUUCACUCAAAUCUUUCUAAUAUAAAUGUGUGCUUUUAAAGAAAAGCAGAUUCUUCAGAGUUUGAGUGGUUUUGUUCUUUUUGUUAAAGAUUUUCCUCCAAGAGACUUUCUUGGGCAGCUGAUCUGUAUCAGGCCUCCUGGUGAACCCUGACCAAACAACACCUGUGCACCCAAAAAAACAAAUAAAAACGAGGACCAACAA